rnacentral:lncRNA from 1 species
UGUUUCUUAUGAUCAAAUUAAUCAGCCAAUCAAAAACGUUUUCUCUCAAGAUAAUUCUAACAUCCUAGAUUUUGAACUUGUGUUGAAUUCCUCUGUUUUUAAAAUCGUGAACAUGGCAAAUGUUUUUUCACCUGCAAGGAGGUUCUUACACAGAAUAAGAAUAAAAGCAUGGCUGAUUGACAAACUUCAAUGAUGCAGUACUACCAUAAAGAUAAUA